UCGACAAAGUGUUUUUGAACUUAAAAUGAUUUUGGAGAGGGAAACCUGGCUUAGUUUGCCACCAGAGACGGCCCAAAUAAUUAGUUUUGCUGGGCUGGUUGGUGAUGGAGCACCCUUAAUGGCUGCAUCUGGUGGAAGGUCUUCUAAUUCUAGUGUCCUUCACAUCGACAAAUCAGCCAACAAAGUCGACACAGAUAUCAAGAAGAGUAGGUUUU